CUCAAAAAUACAUUUUUUUGUUGGAGGUGACUCAAAACAUGGCCCUCCUAAAAACCGUAAAAACUGUGUUCAUGAGGGAAUCGAUGAAAAGGCGAUAGUAAGGGCGAAGAAUUCAACACAACAUUCUUGAAAAAAGGAACAGAGAGGGAGAGAGGAAGAAUUCGACAUAGCAUUCUUCAAAGAAACGGAGAGAUACAGAAGGAGGCGGUAAUGGAGAGUGCAAGAGAAUGGAUAAAGUGCGAUGAGAGUGCGAAGAGCUUGAUGGAUAGGGUAUCAAUGGAGCGUCCUUCUUUGCUUCUCCCUCCUCCUCUUCACAGAGCUCCUCUCUGCGCUGGUAAUGUCGUCGAGAUCGUUGGCCCUUCCCCUUCUGCCAAGUCCUACAUCUUAUUGCAAGCUGCAAUUAAUUGUAUCUUGCCAAAAGAAUGGAAUGGAAUCCAUUAUGGCGGUUUGGAAAGAUUGGUGAUGUAUUUUGAUCUGGAUUGCCGCUUCGAUGUCUCUUAUCUUUCUCAAUCCUUAAAACGUCGCAUAGUUAGGGCUCAGGGACCAGAUAGUCAUUCUUUGGUUGAACAAGAUACACAUCUUGAUGAGGUUCUGUUUUUGGCUUGCCUGAAGCGCUUUUUAUAUAUUCGUUGCUAUAACAGCUUGGAGUUUCUAGCUGCUCUUAAGACUAUUCGCCCUCAGCUUCAAACGGAAAGUGAAGGUCAUGGCAUUGGUGUCCAUUUUCUUAUGUUUGACAGCAUUAGUGCUUAUUAUUGGAUUGACCGGGCAUAUAAACCAUUGUCAUCUGCGAUAAGUAAUAGGAAACCCUUCUCUCUUCAAUCUAUAACAGAAGCGGUUGUUCAAGAACUACGACAACUUUUACAGUUCCACCCCAUGCUAGUAUUGGCCACAAAACCAGCUCUACUAGGACUGGAGUUUUCAGCAUGCCACAUUACGAGGAAGCAGUCUUCUUCACCAUCUGCAACAGGUAUGCUUCCUUUAAGCAGAGGAGCAGAGAGAUUUCUUUAUCGGGAGUAUAUGCCUUCUGCUUGGCAGGUGAUUCUUUUUCUUGUCGAUAUUGCUUAAUAUGGAUUAUGGGUGAUAUGAAACCAAUUUUUCUCUGCUUUAAAUGUGCUGUACAUGGCUCCAAUUUCUGUAUUUGUUUCCCUUUCACAUAAUAUCUGAUAUGUCAAUUAAAAUUGUUAGACUAUACAUAUUCAUGUACCAUGCAAUGCCCUCAUUUCUAUCAUGUAUUUAUUUGUUCCUUAAUGCUUGAUAUUGUUGUUGGGUAUUGUUGUCUUUUGGCUUCAAGUUACUGGUUUAUAGGACACAAGGGUUCAUUAUUGUGGUUUUUUAUCCUGGUUUGUUAGACUUCAUUGUUUCAUAUGAAGAGCAUUACUUACUCUCUCAUGUAGUCAUACCACAACCCCUAACUUAAAAUUCUCCAUUUGUCAAGUUUGAGGUUUGUGGAGGUUUCUGUCAAAUCCAAGGGCUGUCUAAUUUAGUACUUUGAUAAAAAUUUUUAGAGCAAUACUCAAAUCUAUUCUUGGUAGUGCAGUAAACAUUUGGCAUCAAAAUCUAGAAUAAGCCCUUGGCCUUUUAAUCCAAUUUGGAUAUUUUAAUGGCAAAGGUUUCACAAAUUUGGGACCAACAGGUGAUAACACUGCUCAUUUUGGUUCACAUGCAUGGUCAAAGGCCACGCUUGAAUGAUUUCUACGAACUAUAUCAGACCCUGUAGAAGUUUCAUGGAGAUAAGUUUUGUGAAUGGAAUUAUGAUUUUUGGCCAAAUAUUUCAAAUUCUUGGAUUUUUGGGCACAUGUGGGUCGUCAUGUGGGGCUGAAAUGGCAAAAUUCUAGAAGAGCACUGAUCAUGACCCUUUCCGAGAAUCUUUUUGUAGUUCACUUCAUGGAAAACAUAUUUCCUUUCACUAAGAUGACCUUUAAAUCCCUAAGAUUGCUCAAGAAACCACCUCAUAUCCUGCAAAAAAACCACUCAAAACUUUUGUUUAACUGCUCAUCUUUGGGCUCUCUCUAAUUAGUUUAGUUGGCUUGGUCUUUUGAAUUCUAUACUCGCAUGUGGGGUAGGAUGGAUUGUCUAUGGAGCAUUAGGGCUUGCUGCUUUUAAAUAGUAAUUUCCCUAGACCCCCUUGAAAUCAUCACACUUGGGAGCAGGUGCACUACAAUUAGCAUCAAGUCUGAAUAGACAAGUUCGCCGGUUGACUUGCAUUUUCAGAAACAUGGAUACGUCAGGGAAUGAAUGAUGGUCAUUUGUUUCACACAGGAUACACUUAAGAAUUUCAGAUGAAACUUUUGCCGAUGCUGAAAAUAGAUAUCUUCCCAUUUAUAUAACAGAAU